rnacentral:rRNA from 1 species
UACAGAGGUGGCAAGCGUUGUUCGGAAUUACUGGGCGUAAAGGGCGCGUAGGCGGUUCGUUAAGUCCUGUGUGAAAUCCCCCGGCUCAACUGGGGAACUGCACAGGAAACUAGCGGGCUGAGUUCGGGAGAGGGAAGCGGAAUUCCGGGUGUAGCGGUGAAAUGCGUAGAUAUCAGGAGGAACACCUGUGGUGUAGACAGCUUUACUGGACCAUAACUGACGCGAGGGCACGAAAGCGUGGGGUAGCAAA